rnacentral:sRNA from 1 species
UUUCACUGGCUAUUGGAAAAAAAACCUUUAUCUGAUGUAAUGUAUAUAUAAUACCUGCAAAUUGUAAAUCAGUCAUCACAAUGCUAUGAAACAUGGCUAUUAAAGUAUAGGUUUGAUGAAAGAACUCCACAAAUGCAGAGAAAUGCAAUUUACAUCCAUUCUAUAUCACUUCUUGUUAUUUAAUCUUCAACUUUUUAAUUUUUAUACAUUGUCGCUAUUAUGAUUUUCCAUCAAUAAAUUAUGGGUAAAAUAUGACAUAACUGUUAAAAAUUAAGCAAAUGAUUUCAUCCAUAGCUUGAAAAAUACUGUUGCAAAUUAGUUGUAAUGUUAGUGUAUUCUACAAUGUUAUAAAGUUUCAAUUGGAAGUUUUUUAAAAGUUAUAGAUGAAAUGAUUUUAUCAUGUUGUAUUUAACAUAUACUACAUAUACUGAUGAAAAAUGUAAUAUCUAGAAACAAAAUUGUAAAUUUGUGUUCCUGUAUUUUGGAGUUCUUUUGGCAGUGUUAUGUUGUUAAGCUCAGUAUUUCAACUAAUUUUGCAAGUCAUCUAUUCUUAAAAUGAAUUGUUGGCAUUUUAGGUUCCAAAUUCAAAUUCUAGUUGCCAAAUUAGCUAAAAUAGCAUGUGGCUAUUUCAAAUUGUUUUGUGCAGUACCAGUAAUUUAUAUUUUAUUAUUUGCUAUUUGAGUGCUUAACUUCCUGAAAAAUUACUGAAGAAAACAAAUUGAUAAGAAUGUUUAGUUUUUCUCUGUUUGAUAAACCUUGAUUCAAUACAGUAAUUGUUAAUUCUGUGAUCGCUUAAAAUUAAAAAAAAAUAAUGUUUGCUCAAAUAAAUAAAAACUAGUAUGAUGCAUCACAUCUACUUUAUCUGAACUUUCAUAAACUUUCAGAAAUGUACUUUGUACAUUAGUGUUUGGUAUUAUUGUAAAAUACUUUAUUUUAGCUGGAAUUAAUUUUUGCUGAAUUCUGACUAGUUGAAUGUAAAUAGAGGGAAAAACGUAUAUUCGCUGGAUUUUAUUUUUACUGAAUCAUUGCUUCAGUGAAAAUAGCGAAAAUAAAGUAUUUUACAGUAUUCUACUUGUGUCAGAUCUUCUGUAUUCCACAUUUAGCAAGCCUGAAGAAGUCGUCCAAUAGAAGUAAUGGCCAUUUACCUACGGUAAAUAGGGCAAAUGUUCUUCUUGCACAAGGUCACAAACACCCAUAUUGAGCUGGGAAUGUUGUUAUUACCUCCCUCUCAGAUGAUAAACAUGAAUUGUAGUCUCCAUAACAAUCACAAAUGUCACCAGUUAAUACAAUCCAGCUUAGCUUUUGUGAAAAAUGUUGUUUGUGAACACAAUUACCCGGGUUGUUCAUAUUCUAAACCAUGUAUCAAUUUUGUGUGAAAACUGAGGCAUGAAAGUGAGUGUUCUUAUCAAUGGACUUGUGUGUUGACAUUCUUAAGCAAUCUAUUUCAAAUUCUAAUUAAUUAUAGACUUCAUUCUUUAUCGUAUUAGGUAUUUACAAAUUUAGUUUUAGAGCUGUAUCUCUAACAUACCCGAACAGAUCAUGUUCAAACAAUAUAUGCAUCAUACAUCAGGUUGUACGUAUGCACAUUUGACAAUUUGUUGGCAAGUUGGCUGAAUGUUAGCUAAUUUUAAUGAUAUGAUCCCUCAAAAUCAAGCAUUUCUUGUUCGUGCAUGUACACAUUUUGUUGAAACUUCAUAUGCCCAUUAAACGUUGUCAGACCUUGAUGCAAGGCAUUUUCUUUAUCAAAUCCGAUUCAAAAUAGCUGACUGGUUGCCGUUCAGUUUAGUUCUGAGGCUAUAUCGCUGGCUGUUAAAACUUUAUAUAUUUUUCUUGAACUUGAUAACUCGCAGGGGCUAUGAAUUGUGGACUUCUGAAUUAAAAGACAGUAAGAUUAAUGUACAGUGGUAAUCUGUGACUGUUCCCCUUGAUAAUUUUGUUUUAUGUUUGCAAAUCAGCAAUUCAUCUGUCUAUCAUCACUUUGUAUUUGUAUUGUUAAAUUUUACACACUAUGUUCUGAGCCAUAAACAUCAAAUUGGCUUUAAAUGUUUUGUAUUAUAUUUGUUGGUUAUUGAUUAAUAAAAUGAGUUCCUCUCAGAACAACUGUUCAUUUAA